rnacentral:rRNA from 1 species
GAAUCUUAGACAAUGGGCGCAAGCCUGAUCUAGCCAUGCCGCGUGUGUGAUGAAGGCCUUAGGGUCGUAAAGCACUUUCACCAGGGAUGAUAAUGACAGUACCUGGAGAAGAAACCCCGGCUAACUCCGUGCCAGCAGCCGCGGUAAUACGGAGGGGGUUAGCGUUGUUCGGAAUUACUGGGCGUAAAGCGCGCGUAGGCGGACCAGAAAGUUGGGGGUGAAAUCCCGGGGCUCAACCUCGGAACUGCCUCCAAAACUCCUGGUCUAGAGUUCGAGAGAGGUGAGUGGAAUUCCGAGUGUAGAGGUGAAAUUCGUAGAUAUUCGGAGGAACACCAGUGGCGAAGGCGGCUCACUGGCUCGAUACUGACGCUGAGGUGCGAAAGUGUGGGGAGCAAACAGG